AACCGUGCCAGGAAGAACUACGUCCCAGUUUCCAGGAGAAGGGGUCCUCUCUGCAUGCAGACACCCAGGUCCAGGGAACUCCGAAGGGGACAGGAGAGCAGUGGGAGAAGGCCCACUGCGGCCCGGAUGUAUCCCUUAAGUUCCCCUUAGAGCCCAAGCCCCAUUCUCUACGGAACAGAACGCCUCCUGCUCUCCUCCUCUCGCUCAGGAGCCCACUCCCUCCUUCCCUGCCUCCGUCUCCAUCACGGAACACCUCCGGUGUCUCUCGAGGGCCCUCCCUCCAUCUCGCUUUCUUCCCACCGGCUCCUGGAGUGACCCUCUAGACGAUGAAGGUCAGCCGGCUCCACCACCUCCUCUCACGAGCACCCACCUCUCCAGGAUCCCUCACUCCUCUAGCAAGGGACAAGCCCAUCUCUGCUCUCCCGGAGCCCAAAGAGGCUGGAGAAAACAGUGGCUGAAGAGUUUGCUUCCAGACAGAAGCAGCCAUCACUGCCCCUGCAGGCAUCUCCAGGCAGGCCAUCCGCGAAAGCCUUUCAGCUCCAGCCGGCUGAGCCAAGGUGGUUCCCACUGCCCCAAAACCUGCCUGCUCCCUCCAAGACCGGGGUGGUGCAGCCUGUGGGGGGCUUCCAGACCUUCUCAGAACAAGACUGGGGCUCACUCCGCUUCUCCCCACCCCAGCACACCCUCAGUUUACUGACCCUUGUGUUCAGAGACAACCAGUAGGCCUCCCUGACUUCAUCCUGUCUCCCCACUGUGGCCUCCUCCAGGAGCAUAAUGAGGGGCUUAUUAGGUUUCAUCAUUUGAGCUUUUAUUUGCCAGGCAGACUAUUUAGCAUUUCAGCAGAGCAGAAUUGCCUUUGGUUCAGCCUCAGUAGCCCCGAGGCUCCCUCCUCAGUUAGAUCUCGCCCUGGUGAGCUCUUUGCAGUGGGAACUCUGCUCCCUCAAAUGUUCAUCUCAGCCCCCUAAUAAAAAAUUAAAAAUAAAACCAAACAAACCCAAGCAACGAUUGGACACUGAAUAGCUGCUUUGGAGCCAGAGGCGUAGCAUGAACUCUGAGCCACGAUUCACUAGCAAUAAACUUGAGGCGUUUAACUGGUCCUAUGUGAACCCCACCCAGCCCCUGCAGUGUGUGAGGGCUGUGCCCUGAGCGCUGCAGCCUUGGCAAGCCCAUCCAGUGGUCUGAGCAUAAGUUCUCCCAUCUCUAAUGUGGCUGGCCAUCCCUGCUCCCACCUGCAUAGCUACAGUCCCACAAAGAUCAAAGUGAGAAAUUUUAUUUUAUUUAUUUAUUUUUUUGGGGGGGUACCGGGG
ensembl:lincRNA